AUGGCCACGUUAAAAACUGGCUUGCAAGAUGUCGGAAAAUGGUGCAGAUGGCUCUCCCAAGCUGGUGCGAGCUGGCCCCCGCACACCGCCGUGCUGACGUGCAGAGAUGCUGAGCUGGGUCUGGUCUCACCUCUGAAGCCAAGCAUCGGUUGGGCAUUUCCACGUGGACAUCACACUACAAGGGCUUUACACGUGCUAGCAGCUGUUAUCAAUUCUUCCCUCCACAACAUCUCUUGCAGCAGUGGUUCUCCAACUCAGGUGCGCACCGGAAUCCCCCUUCAAAUAAAUAAUGAUGUCUGGGACCCAGCCUCGGAGGGCCUGAUGUCACUGGUCUGGGGUGCAGCCUGGACAUCCUGAUUUUGAAAAGCUCCCAGGUGAAUCUAACGUUCAGCCAGAGCUGAAAAUCACUGUCCUUCCUUUCCAUCCUCGCUGGGACCUGCCCCCAAUAACAGGAUGGAGGCAGCACGGGCUUGGAAGUCCAACGGACUUGGCUGUGAAGCAGCUUUGCCACCUACCAGGGCAUGUUUCUUAAGUCCUGGUGCUUCACUUUUACCAAACCGUGGAGCAGGAGCAAUAAUCCAGAUCGUAUACGGUUAUGUGAAGAUGUAGCUCAGCGCUUGCAGCGUAAAAGCCAGAUUCCCGCUUCGUAUUCCAGUCGCCUGCUAACUGCCCUCAUCUCUCGCUUCUCCCCAGCCCGUUUAUCUCAGACACGACUGCUGAAAUGACCAUUCCUCCAAGUCAAACCUCUGUUCGAAGACCUUGAGCGGCCGGCUCCCCAUUGGCGACUCUGCCUCCUGCUCCAGGACCUCAAGGCCCCAGGAAGGUGGGACCUCUCUCCCAGGUCUGAUCCAGCCCUAGUGCCUUGACCCCUUGCACACCCUCCCUGCUCCUCACGCAGGAAGCAGCUCACAGCUUUCAGGAAGCCUCUCUUUUCCGGAGAAUUCUUCUGGACAUCUCCUUAGCCUCUCCUAAUCUCUGGUUUCAACCUCCUGUGCGCCCCUCAUUGGACGUCGAAGUUCACAUUUCCGCAGCCUGAGGCCUCCUACGUGACAGGGACCGCUCUUUGCGCAGCCCAGGCCGCCCCUGGUCAGCCAGGGGGGCUAACUACACAGAGUGACAAUCAGCCUGCGGGCUCCGAGCUGCUGUUUCCUGGAGCUGUUUGCACUGGAGGGAGAAGGAAGUGAUUCUGAGGUCCCACGGCCACUCCUGCGGGGCCUCUUCCCCAUCCCUGCCCUUGCCAUCUGCCCUCAUGCAAAUACCGCACCUAAUUGCACCCCAAUUGCUUCUGGGCAUCCCAAGCAGCCACCCCAGGGCCUGACCUCUCAGCCAGGCACUCUCCCCAGUGCCCUCCAUGCCCUAGGCACUCAACAAAUAUGGGAAUGGUGAGAAAGACAGAGAGAAUGCCUGGCUCUUGCUCUUCCCUGCCAGUGCCGAGGACAGGGAGCAGAGCUGAGGACAGCGAAGGGCCUUACACCAACACAGAAUUCACUUGUCUCCCCGAAGAACGUGUGUCUAACAUCACACACAAUAAAAGGAAGGGUUAAUUUUAUAGCA
rnacentral:lncRNA from 1 species